UGGCAGUUCCUUGGAGAAACUAGGGGUGAUUCUAUCAUAAAAAGGGGUGGGGGAGAGUAGAUCAGGCAGACACAAUCACUGAAGGAGGAGAGUACAGGAGAUUUAGAGGAAGAAGAUCUGUGAAGAGGUUUGGGAGGAGUUAAGAAGGGAAAGCAAUCAGUCAUUUUUCCAAAGGCCAGUCUGCAGGGCUGGGACUGAGCACAGGCUGAAAUCAAGGUUGGACUACCUCUCAGCCCUUCUCAAGCCCUCCAGGCCUAGCAGUCUCCAUCUGAUCCUGUAUUGGAAAUGGGCAUGGAAGAUGCCACAACUUCUCAAGCUUUCCCUAGGAAAAGGGGUGGGUGAACUUCUGGCCUGAAGAAUCUGAGGAUGGAAGGUCAACUUUGCUCUUCUCCUGGGUUCUGGAACCAGACCUUCCUAACCUGCUCUGCUCACCUGGAGCCCCAGCCCACUGUCACCCAUGCCCUCAUCUCCAGACUCUUCUUCCAGCAACUAGGCUUGCAAAGCAGGGAUGGUGGCUUGGAGCACCAGCUUCCGUGUCAAGCAGGGCAGGCUGCACUCCCAGCGCCCUGGUGCCUCUGGCUCUCGAGGCUUGUUCCUCAUCUCUAGCUCCCUCACAGAGUUGUCCUGAGGCUCACAAUGGGAACACAUCAAUAAAUUACCUAUUGCAUUAAAAUGAGUUGUUAUUAUUGGCACAAUUGUUAUUGACGCUUAAGCCUGAAGGCAAAUAAAUGAUUUUUAGCUGCAAAAAAAAAAAAA
rnacentral:lncRNA from 1 species